rnacentral:rRNA from 1 species
AUUGAACGCUGGCGGCAGGCCUAACACAUGCAAGUCGAGCGGAUGAAGGGAGCUUGCUCCUGGAUUCAGCGGCGGACGGGUGAGUAAUGCCUAGGAAUCUGCCUGGUAGUGGGGGAUAACGUCCGGAAACGGGCGCUAAUACCGCAUACGUCCUGAGGGAGAAAGUGGGGGAUCUUCGGACCUCACGCUAUCAGAUGAGCCUAGGUCGGAUUAGCUAGUUGGUGGGGUAAAGGCCUACCAAGGCGACGAUCCGUAACUGGUCUGAGAGGAUGAUCAGUCACACUGGAACUGAGACACGGUCCAGACUCCUACGGGAGGCAGCAGUGGGGAAUAUUGGACUAUGGGCGAAAGCCUAAUCCAGCCAUGCCGCGUGUGUGAAGAAGGUCUUCGGAUUGUAAAGCACUUUAAGUUGGGAGGAAGGGCAGUAAGUUAAUACCUUGCUGUUUUGACGUUACCAACAGAAUAAGCACCGGCUAACUUCGUG